rnacentral:lncRNA from 1 species
CCCAGUGCCUGGCUUUUCAUCAUCACGCCCAGCAUUUAGCGAGUGGAAUAAGUCAUUCUUUGACUGCAUUUUGUUCUGCUUCUUCCUCCGUCUGAUUCUACUGGCUGCUCUUUGCAGAUAUAAUUAGCUGAUAAGGUCUACCGGAUGGGAGUGGGCCCAGAAUCCGAUGACUGGUGUCCUUAUAAGAAGAGAAGAAGAGACACAGAGGGGAGAAGGCCACGUGAAGAUGGAGGUGGAGGUUGGGGCGACACCGCCAGAAGCCAAGGAAUGCCUGGAGCCACCAGCAGCUGGAAGAGCUAAAGCAAGCAAAUGGACAUAUCCAAAUUCAAGAAAGUGGAGAAGAGUGAUCCUACUAUGUGCUUGGAAAGAGAACCCAAAAUUCUUGGUAAGUGGCCUUAGAGAUUACCAUAAUUUCAUAGAUGUCAUUUUCUCCAGGGGCUCUUAAUUUUUUUCACAAAGCAGCUAUUGUUAAAACUGAGCAGGGAGAGCGAAUGGGAAGCUCAGCCCUCACAAUCAACCAGCUGCGCAACCUCGGGCAAGUUACUGAAGCUCGUUGACCUCGGUUUCCUCAUCUACGAAGUGGGGAAAAUAG